ensembl:lncRNA
UAUCGAUGCCAAAUGUGUUGGUUACAAUUUGCAAUUUUGUCUUGUGAGUGCUGCUAUUUCAGUGCGUUUCUAUCGGCAUUUGACCAUGUACUGGCUGAGGUAGUAGUUUGUGCUGUUGGUUGGGUUAUGACAUUGCCUGCUAUGGAGAUGACUGCGCAAACUACUGCCUUGCUAGUGCUGGUGUUCGACUUCAAGCCGAGGAGUUUCCUGUUUUAUUCGUUUUGUAAAGGAUAGACACUUGCCGGCAAGGAGGCUGGAUGUGAGGAAUCACAGAAAGACAAAUUGAGAGCCCUGGUAUCAGAUCAGCCAGACAGUCGACCUCCUGCCUCCUUCCAGACAGGUCUCCAGCACUCCAGCUGUCUGCUCCCCCAGGGGGCCAAUCCUCCCUGCAUGCCACACAGGGCUCACCAAAGUGCUGCUCUACUCAGGAAUCAAUCACCACCUUCCAUCUGUCUAUAGCAAAACGUCUAGUGCCAUCUGGUUAUUGAGCCCUAAACACUCCCGAAACACAAAGGCUUCCUAUACGAGUCCUGUGUAGUAUGUACUGUAUCCAUCUGAUUUACAUAAUGUAGGUCUAUCUAAAUCUGUUGUUGUAGAUAUACACAAUGGUACGUUGUGUUGAUGUGUGUACCCUUUGUACAUUUGUUUUUACUUCUAACAUUUACAAGAAAAGAGGCUUUGGAAUGACACAGCAUUCUUUAUAAAUUGUAAAAGCAAUCCUUCAUUUCUUUACACUGCCCUUACGUUUUGAAGACAUUACGAAUUCCCGUUUACUUCAUUUAGUGUUUUUUGGAGUUACAAAAAAUGUCCAACACAUACAGUAUUACAAAGGAUAGACUUGUUUCCGACUUGUCUUUUUACAGUGUACCGUAUUUACAAUAUUUUUUUUAACAUUCUACUUGAGUCUCUUUCUGUAUUGUUUUGAGCGAGUCAGUCAUAGAGCAGUUGAGUAACGUUUGUGUAAUCAAAACAGAAACACAUUGAAACAGCUUGAAAAGAAACAUGCUACCAAAAAGGUCAAAGGAACAGUGAUAAGAGUUAAUAUGGAAUAUGCAUGACUAGAGACUGAUUUGACGUCAACACCUCCCUAAAAACGCUUUUACACAACUCAAGAUACGAAUCCACUUAAAACGCCACAGACACAUCUUGCAAGUCCCAAGUUCUGACAUCAUUAGAGACUGUAUGGGUUUAUCUUUAGAGCAUCAGUGUCAUCAGUAGAGGUCCUACAUGAGAUGGAAUGCCUAUUAAUGUAGCUCCUGACUGGUCAUCCAGGAGACAUUGUCAGCCCACUGUAUUGAAUAAAGAAUAUACAUACUACAUUGACUGAAGUGCAUCAAGCAUUUAAAUAGAUGCUAGUUCCAUCCUCUGAUCCAUAAAAGGGUAAAAGGUGGGAACCCAAGACACUGUACAUCCUUCAUACUGUAUCUGAACAGAAAUUGAUUCAGGUCAAUGCCAUAAAUGGUUAGUUUGCAGAGUAUCGUUCAGCAAAGUGUAAGUACCAGACUGCAUAAUAACACAAGGAUACAGGAUAAAAUACACUCUGUACAGAGAAAAGAUUAUGUUCGACAUCUGGCAUGAGAAUCAGUCACAUAGCUCCCUGAGUUGUGUGACAUAGGAACAGUAAACUACAAGUUAACAAUUUCAAAACGACAACAAACAGACUUUCAUUCCAACAUUCCAAUGCAUCUUUUGUGUUUCUCCCAAACACUUCCUAAUACAUGUAUCUGAUGUAACUCUAGCCUUUAAGGUCUGAAUGUUAACUUGAGUGUGCACACUUGUUGUAACUUGAACUUUUGAAUAAAUCAAGCAUUUGUUUCAAGAUAAAAUGACACAACCAUGUCCAAGUAAAUAUUCUGCCUCACAACAUUCAGUAAACCAUUUCUACUUAUGUUUUAUUCAUGUAAUAUACGACAGAUAUGUUGAACGUCCUUUGGGGGGGGGGGGGGGGAAUUAGUCAGGGUCUCAACUUACUGUUGAGAUUUCAAAUAGUAAAUACACAUGGUGCAAUUUAAGAAAUCUGGUUGUGGCAUCAACAGUUUUCAUCUUAUGUCAGAGUCAGUAAAUUAGCCAAUGACAGCUAAAUCUUUUUUGAUUGCUAAGUUAGCUGGCUGCUAAACUAUAUAAACUUAUUAUGGUCGAAUUACAAUCAAUGGGCCCCAAUUUACUUUGUUAAAUCAGUCUCACUCAGUUAUCAUAUUAAACACUGCAAACUGUGUAGAAUUGCAGCAAACUUGCUUUAGAACUGCAACAUUUGUAAAUUCUCAAAAUGAACUCUAAACUUUUUUUAUUUUUUAAAUCUCUGCUCUCAGGGGGGGUAACUAAAAUGUUUUGUGUGUAUGCGAGCGCAACUGUUGCCCCUCAUGAGUUUGCCCAUCCUUGCCCUUAUACAAUGUUGAACAAAGCUAGACUAAGCCAUACAGUAUGAAAACUAGUGACAUGAGAUUAUUUAAGUAAAGAAUGGACCAUGCACUGUACCUAUCCAGUUUCAUAUUUCUAAAGUAAACAAGCACACACAGGAUGAUGCAGACAUGUAUUUGACUAUAGAAAAAAUGCACAGGUGAAACAGGGACAAGGGAUUGGAUCUCUUGUUUAAAACAAACCAAAAGCAUGAGGUAGAUGUUUCAGAUUAUGUAUCAAAUGUAGGGUUGCAAAGCUACCAGUAAUUUCAAAGUUACCACAAUCUUCAGUAAUUUUGAUAAUUCACAGAAAAUCUUUCACAAUCUAUCAUAACUUUGGUAAUUGAUACUAGAAGUGUAAAAAAUAUAUAUAUACAGUGCCUUGCGAAAGUAUUCGGCCCCCUUGAACUUUGCGACCUUUUGCAUUUCAGGCUUCAAACAAAGAUAUAAAACUUUAUUUUUUUGUGAAGAAUCAACAACAAGUGGGAACACAAUCAUGAAGUGGAACGACAUUUAUUGGAUUUUCAAACUUUUUUAACAAAUCAAAACUGAAAAAUUGGGCGUGCAAAUUAUUCAGCCCCCUUAAGUUAAUACUUUGUAGCGCCACCUUUUGCUGCGAUUACAGCUGUAAGUCGCUUGGGGUAUGUCUCUAUCAGUUUUGCCAUCGAGAGACUGACAUUUUUUCCCAUUCCUCCUUGCAAAACAGCUCGAGCUCAGUGAGGUUGGAUGGAGAGCAUUUGUGAACAGCAGUUUUCAGUUCUUUCCACAGAUUCUCGAUUGGAUUCAGGUCUGGACUUUGACUUGGCCAUUCUAACACUUGGAUAUGUUUAUUUUUGAACCAUUCAUUGUAGAUUUUGCUUUAUGUUUUGGAUCAUUGUCUUGUUGGAAGACAAUAUCCGUCCCAGUCUCAGGUCUUUUGCAGACUCCAUCAGGUUUUCUUCCAGAAUGGUCCUGUAUUUGGCUCCAUCCAUCUUCCCAUCAAUUUGAACCAUCUUCCCUGUCCUGCU